rnacentral:rRNA from 1 species
CCUACGGGAGGCAGCAGUGGGGGAUAUUGCACAAUGGGGGAAACUCUGAUGCAGCGACGCCGCGUGAGUGAAGAAGUAUUUCGGUAUGUAAAGCUCUAUUAGUAGGGAAGAAAAAAGACGUUAGCUGAUUAAGAUGCCCCGGCUAACUACGUGCCAGCAGCCGCGGUAAUACGGAUGCUGCAAGCGUUAUCCGGAUUUACUGGGUGUAAAGGGAGCGCAGGCGGCACGGCAAGACUGAUGUGAAAGCCCGCGGCUCAACCGCGGAGCGGCAUGGGAAACUGCCGGGCUUGAGUGCAGGAGAGGUAGGCGGAAUUCCUAGUGUAGCGGUGAAAUGCGUAGAUAUUAGGAGGAACACCAGUGGCGAAGGCGGCCUACUGGACGGUGACUGACGCUGAGGCUCGAAAGCGUGGGGAGCAAACAGGAUUAGAUACCCGAGUAGUC